UACGUAGGGGGCAAGCGUUGUCCGGAUUUAUUGGGCGUAAAGAGCGUGUAGGCGGCCUGGCAAGUCCGCUGUGAAAACCCGAGGCUCAACCUCGGGACGUCGGCGGAAACCAUCUGGCUAGAGUCCGGAAGAGGAGAGUGGAAUUCCCGGUGUAGCGGUGAAAUGCGCAGAUAUCGGGAAGAACACCCGUGGCGAAGGCGGCUCUCUGGGACGGUACUGACGCUGAGACGCGAAAGCGUGGGGAGCGAACAGG
rnacentral:rRNA from 1 species